CGGGAGGCAGACUGGGAAAAAAAAAAACGGCGCGGGGCUACCUGGCGACGCAUGCGCAUUGGGGCGGGUGUGGACGAGAAGUGAGCGUGGAAAAGGGAAUUCAUGUUGGACUCCUCCUGCAUGUCGUGAGCCUAUUGCAGGAGACUUAGGGCGAGAGGCGGUGUACCCCCUGGAACAGUCGCCAGCCACUCGCGUGCAUUUGUGAUGACGAGCAGCCGUUUUUUUUUUUGUCACGUUAGAAGAAAUUAAAAAUUAAAGUUCAAAAGCUCCAAGGUGGAGCGCCUCGGGCCGACCGUAAAUGAGCUGCCAUGGAGACGUGCACGCGCGCACGUCAACGCGCGCGCUCACGCGGUCUCACGCGCUCACACACACACACACACACACACACACACUUGCGCUCGUGGUGCAAGUGCUCAAAGCUUUUCAUAUGAUUUAUUACAAUAUUAGUCUUAAUUAUUUCAUGCAUUUUCUGUUCGUCUUUUUUUGUCUCGACAUUCUUCUUUCUUUCUCUCACGUUCCACUAUCGUGUUAAUAUUCCAAAUGGAAAUGGCACAUUCGAACAGCUAAAAACUUUGGCGAAUAUUGUUUGAAAAGUGUCGGCUGUAUCUUAUUUCCUUAACUAGCAGCAUUUGACUAUCCAGCCUGUUUGUCAGCCAGCUUGUUAUUCGCCAGGCCUGAGGCGUCUAAACCUGUAAACUAGCUUUAAUAAGCGCCAGAUAGUGCACCUCGAGCAUUUUGUGCAUCUAUUCAUAUUCAAAUGAUUUAUACAACAGUAGCACAAACAAUGUUUUUGUAUUUGUAGGUGUUUCUAUUGUAAUUUUUUUUAAAUUUGCGUUUCUGUUGUUGUUGAUUGGUUUUGCAUCGACAUCGACAUCGAUGUGACUGUACUUGUCAGGAAGAUUUGUUUUUUUUGGAAAAUAUAUUAAUAGAAAAAAAAUAAAACAUUUAAACAUGAGUUUUUAGAUCUGAAAUAACCAAAUCUCUUGACUUUUU